CGGGCCCACCAUGCAGUCGAGCGGAUGAAGGGAGCUUGCUCCUGGAUUCAGCGGCGGACGGGUGAGUAAUGCCUAGGAAUCUGCCUGGUAGUGGGGGAUAACGUCCGGAAACGGGCGCUAAUACCGCAUACGUCCUGAGGGAGAAAGUGGGGGAUCUUCGACCUCACGCUAUCAGAUGAGCCUAGGUCGGAUUAGCUAGUUGGUGGGGUAAAGGCCUACCAAGGCGACGAUCCGUAACUGGUCUGAGAGGAUGAUCAGUCACACUGGAACUGAGACACGGUCCAGACUCCUACGGGAGGCAGCAGUGGGGAAUAUUGGACAAUGGGCGAAAGCCUGAUCCAGCCAUGCCGCGUGUGUGAAGAAGGUCUUCGGAUUGUAAAGCACUUUAAGUUGGGAGGAAGGGCAGUAAGUUAAUACCUUGCUGUUUUGACGUUACCAACAGAAUAAGCACCGGCUAACUUCGUGCCAGCAGCCGCGGUAAUACGAAGGGUGCAAGCGUUAAUCGGAAUUACUGGGCGUAAAGCGCGCGUAGGUGGUUCAGCAAGUUGGAUGUGAAAUCCCCGGGCUCAACCUGGGAACUGCAUCCAAAACUACUGAGCUAGAGUACGGUAGAGGGUGGUGGAAUUUCCUGUGUAGCGGUGAAAUGCGUAGAUAUAGGAAGGAACACCAGUGGCGAAGGCGACCACCUGGACUGAUACUGACACUGAGGUGCGAAAGCGUGGGGAGCAAACAGGAUUAGAUACCCCUGGUAGUCCACGCCGUAAACGAUGUCGACUAGCCGUUGGGAUCCUUGAGAUCUUAGUGGCGCAGCUAACGCGAUAAGUCGACCCCCUGGGGAGUACGGCCGCAAGGUUAAAACUCAAUGAAUUGACGGGGGCCCGCACAAGCGGUGGAGCAUGUGGUUUAAUUUCGAAGCACGCGAAGACCUUACCUGGCCUUGACAUGCUGAGAAACUUUCCAGAGAUGGAUGGUGCCCUUCCGAACUCGACCCAGGUGCUGCAUGGGCUGUCGUCAGCCUCGUGUCGUGAGAUGUUGGGGUUAAGUCCCGUAACGAGCGCACCCUGUCCCUAGCUACCAGCACCUCGGGGGCUUCUCUACGGAGACUGCCGAUUGACUAACCGUAGAACGUGCGGAAUCGACCGUCAAGUCAUCCAUUGACCUUAACGGCCCAUGCAG
rnacentral:rRNA from 1 species